UUAAGUUAAUAAGGGCGCACGGUGGAUGCCUUGGCACUAGGAGCCGACGAAGGACGUGACAAACGACGAUAUACCUUGGGUAGCUGUAAGUAAGCGAUGAUCCAGGGAUUUCCGAAUGGGGGAACCCAACAGGUAAUACCUGUUACCCACAUCUGUUAAGGAUGUGAGGAGGAAGACGCAGUGAACUGAAACAUCUAAGUAGCUGCAGGAAGAGAAAGCAAAAGCGAUUGCCUUAGUAGCGGCGAGCGAAACGGCAGAAGGGCAAACCGAAGAGUUUACUCUUCGGGGUUGUAGGACUGCAAUGUGGACUCAAAGAUUAUAGAAGAAUGAUUUGGGAAGAUCAGCCAAAGAGAGUAAUAGCCUCGUAUUUAAAAUAGUCUUUGUACCUAGCAGUAUCCUGAGUACGGCGGGACACGUGAAAUCCCGUCGGAAUCUGGGAGGACCAUCUCCCAACCCUAAAUACUCCCUAGUGACCGAUAGUGAACCAGUACCGUGAGGGAAAGGUGAAAAGCACCCCGGGAGGGGAGUGAAAUAGAACCUGAAACCGUGUGCCUACAACAAGUUCGAGCCCGUUAAUGGGUGAGAGCGUGCCUUUUGUAGAAUGAACCGGCGAGUUACGUUAUGAUGCGAGGUUAAGUUGAAGAGACGGAGCCGUAGGGAAACCGAGUCUGAACAGGGCGAAUUAGUAUCAUGACGUAGACCCGAAACCAUGUGACCUACCCAUGAGCAGGUUGAAGGUGCGGUAAGACGCACUGGAGGACCGAACCAGGGCACGUUGAAAAGUGCUUGGAUGACUUGUGGGUAGCGGAGAAAUUCCAAACGAACUUGGAGAUAGCUGGUUCUCUCCGAAAUAGCUUUAGGGCUAGCGUCGACAUUAGAGAUUCUUGGAGGUAGAGCACUGUUUGGGUGAGGGGUCCAUCCCGGAUUACCAAUCUCAGAUAAACUCCGAAUGCCAAUGAAUUAUGGUCGGCAGUCAGACUGCGAGUGCUAAGAUCCGUAGUCGAAAGGGAAACAGCCCAGACCACCAGCUAAGGUCCCAAAAUAAUUGUUAAGUGGAAAAGGAUGUGGGGUUGCACAGACAACUAGGAUGUUAGCUUAGAAGCAGCUAUUCAUUCAAAGAGUGCGUAAUAGCUCACUAGUCGAGUGACCCUGCGCCGAAAAUGUACCGGGGCUAAAACAAUUUACCGAAGCUGUGGAUACCUUUAUAGGUAUGGUAGGAGAGCGUUCUAUGUGUGAUGAAGGUAUACCGUGAGGAGUGCUGGAACGCAUAGAAGUGAGAAUGCCGGUAUGAGUAGCGAAAGACAGGUGAGAAUCCUGUCCACCGUAAGACUAAGGUUUCCAGGGGAAGGCUCGUCCGCCCUGGGUUAGUCGGGACCUAAGGAGAGACCGAAAGGUGUAUCCGAUGGACAACAGGUUGAUAUUCCUGUACUAGAGUAUGUAGUGAUGGAGGGACGCAGUAGGCUAACUAAAGCAGACGAUUGGAAGAGUCUGUCUAAGCAGUGAGGUGUGAAUUGAGUCAAAUGCUUAAUUCUAUAACAUUGAGCUGUGAUGGGGAGCGAAGUUUAGUAGCGAAGUUAGUGACGUCACACUGCCAAGAAAAGCUUCUAGCGUUUAAACAUACUCUACCCGUACNNNNNGAAGGUAUGAAUUGAAGCCCCAGUAAACGGCGGCCGUAACUAUAACGGUCCUAAGGUAGCGAAAUUCCUUGUCGGGUAAGUUCCGACCCGCACGAAAGGCGUAAUGAUUUGGGCACUGUCUCAACGAGAGACUCGGUGAAAUUUUAGUACCUGUGAAGAUGCAGGUUACCCGCGACAGGACGGAAAGACCCCAUGGAGCUUUACUGCAGUUUGAUAUUGAGUGUCUGUACCACAUGUACAGGAUAGGUAGGAGUCUAAGAGAUCGGGACGCCAGUUUCGAAGGAGACGCUGUUGGGAUACUACCCUUGUGUUAUGGCCACUCUAACCCAGAUAGGUGAUCCCUAUCGGAGACAGUGUCUGACGGGCAGUUUGACUGGGGCGGUCGCCUCCUAAAAGGUAACGGAGGCGCCCAAAGGUUCCCUCAGAAUGGUUGGAAAUCAUUCGCAGAGUGUAAAGGUAUAAGGGAGCUUGACUGCGAGAGCUACAACUCGAGCAGGGACGAAAGUCGGGCUUAGUGAUCCGGUGGUUCCGUAUGGAAGGGCCAUCGCUCAACGGAUAAAAGCUACCCUGGGGAUAACAGGCUUAUCUCCCCCAAGAGUUCACAUCGACGGGGAGGUUUGGCACCUCGAUGUCGGCUCGUCGCAUCCUGGGGCUGUAGUCGGUCCCAAGGGUUGGGCUGUUCGCCCAUUAAAGCGGCACGCGAGCUGGGUUCAGAACGUCGUGAGACAGUUCGGUCCCUAUCCGUCGCGGGCGUAGGAAAUUUGAGAGGAUCUGCUCCUAGUACGAGAGGACCAGAGUGGACUUACCGCUGGUGUACCAGUUGUCUUGCCAAAGGCAUCGCUGGGUAGCUAUGUAGGGAAGGGAUAAACGCUGAAAGCAUCUAAGUGUGAAACCCACCUCAAGAUGAGAUUUCCCAUGAUUAUAUAUCAGUAAGAGCCCUGAGAGAUGAUCAGGUAGAUAGGUUAGAAGUGGAAGUGUGGCGACACAUGUAGCGGACUAAUACUAAUAGCUCGAGGACUUAUCCAA
rnacentral:rRNA from 1 species